UACGUAGGGUGCGAGCGUUGUCCGGAUUUAUUGGGCGUAAAGAGCUCGUAGGCGGCUUGUCGCGUCGAAUGUGAAAACUCGGGGCUCAACUCCGAGCUUGCAUUCGAUACGGGCAGACUAGAGUUCGGUAGGGGAGUCUGGAAUUCCUGGUGUAGCGGUGAAAUGCGCAGAUAUCAGGAGGAACACCGGUGGCGAAGGCGGGACUCUGGGCCGAUACUGACGCUGAGGAGCGAAAGCGUGGGGAGCGAACAGG
rnacentral:rRNA from 1 species